AACCGGAUUAGAUACCCUGGUAGUCCACGCCGUAAACGAUGUCGACUUGGAGGUUGUUCCCUUGAGGAGUGGCUUCCGGAGCUAACGCGUUAAGUCGACCGCCUGGGGAGUACGGCCGCAAGGUUAAAACUCAAAUGAAUUGACGGGGGCCCGCACAAGAGGUGGAGCAUGUGGUUUAAUUCGAUGCAACGCGAAGAACCUUACCUACUCUUGACAUCCAGCGAACUUAGCAGAGAUGCUUUGGUGCCUUCGGGAACGCUGAGACAGGUGCUGCAUGGCUGUCGUCAGCUCGUGUUGUGAAAUGUUGGGUUAAGUCCCGCAACGAGCGCAACCCUUAUCCUUUGUUGCCAGCGAUUCGGUCGGGAACUCAAAGGAGACUGCCGGUGAUAAACCGGAGGAAGGUGGGGAUGACGUCAAGUCAUCAUGGCCCUUACGAGUAGGGCUACACACGUGCUACAAUGGCGCAUACAAAGAGAAGCGACCUCGCGAGAGCAAGCGGACCUCACAAAGCGCGUCGUAGUCCGGAUCGG
rnacentral:rRNA from 1 species